UACGGGGGGAGCAAGCGUUGUUCGGAUUUACUGGGCGUAAAGGGCGCGUAGGCGGCCAGCACAAGUCAGUUGUGAAAUCUCCGGGCUUAACUCGGAAAGGUCAACUGAUACUGUGCGGCUAGAGUGCAGAAGGGGCAACUGGAAUUCUCGGUGUAGCGGUGAAAUGCGUAGAUAUCGAGAGGAACACCUGCGGCGAAGGCGGGUUGCUGGGCUGACACUGACGCUGAGGCGCGAAAGCCAGGGGAGCAAACGGG
rnacentral:rRNA from 1 species